rnacentral:rRNA from 1 species
GGGUUGUGAGGUUAAGCGACUAAGCGUACACGGUGGAUGCCCUGGCAGUCAGAGGCGAUGAAGGGCGUGCUAAUCUGCGAUAAGCGCCGGUAAGGUGAUAUGAACCGUUAUAACCGGCGAUACCCGAAUGGGGAAACCCAGUGUGAUCGUCACACUAUCAUUAACUGAAUCCAUAGGUUAAUGAGGCGAACCGGGGGAACUGAAACAUCUAAGUACCCCGAGGAAAAGAAAUCAACCGAGAUUCCCCCAGUAGCGGCGAGCGAACGGGGAGGAGCCCAGAGCCUGAAUCAGCAUGUGUGUUAGUGGAAGCGUCUGGAAAGGCGCGCGAUACAGGGUGACAGCCCCGUACACAAAAGCGCAUGUGCUGUGAGCUCGAUGAGUAGGGCGGGACACGUGGUAUCCUGUCUGAAUAUGGGGGGACCAUCCUCCAAGGCUAAAUACUCCUGACUGACCGAUAGUGAACCAGUACCGUGAGGGAAAGGCGAAAAGAACCCCGGCGAGGGGAGUGAAAAAGAACCUGAAACCGUGUACGUACAAGCAGUGGGAGCACCCUUUGGGUGUGACUGCGUACCUUUUGUAUAAUGGGUCAGCGACUUAUAUUCUGUAGCAAGGUUAACCGAAUAGGGGAGCCGGAGGGAAACCGAGUCUUAAUUGGGCGUUAAGUUGCAGGGUAUAGACCCGAAACCCGGUGAUCUAGCCAUGGGCAGGUUGAAGGUUGGGUAACACUAACUGGAGGACCGAACCGACUAAUGUUGAAAAAUUAGCGGAUGACCUGUGGCUGGGGGUGAAAGGCCAAUCAAACCGGGAGAUAGCUGGUUCUCCCCGAAAGCUAUUUAGGUAGCGCCUCGUGAAUUCAUCUCCGGGGGUAGAGCACUGUUUCGGCUAGGGGGCCAUCCCGGCUUACCAACCCGAUGCAAACUGCGAAUACCGGAGAAUGUUAUCACGGGAGACACACGGCGGGUGCUAACGUCCGUCGUGAAGAGGGAAACAACCCAGACCGCCAGCUAAGGUCCCAAAGUCAUGGUUAAGUGGGAAACGAUGUGGGAAGGCCCAGACAGCCAGGAUGUUGGCUUAGAAGCAGCCAUCAUUUAAAGAAAGCGUAAUAGCUCACUGGUCGAGUCGGCCUGCGCGGAAGAUGUAACGGGGCUAAACCAUGCACCGAAGCUGCGGCAGCGACGCUUAUGCGUUGUUGGGUAGGGGAGCGUUCUGUAAGCCUGCGAAGGUGGCCUGUGAGGGUUGCUGGAGGUAUCAGAAGUGCGAAUGCUGACAUAAGUAACGAUAAAGCGGGUGAAAAGCCCGCUCGCCGGAAGACCAAGGGUUCCUGUCCAACGUUAAUCGGGGCAGGGUGAGUCGACCCCUAAGGCGAGGCCGAAAGGCGUAGUCGAUGGGAAACGGGUUAAUAUUCCCGUACUUGGUGUUACUGCGAAGGGGGGACGGAGAAGGCUAUGUUGGCCGGGCGACGGUUGUCCCGGUUUAAGCGUGUAGGUGUGUGUUCCAGGUAAAUCCGGUUCACUUUAACACUGAGGCGUGACGACGAGGCACUACGGUGCUGAAGCAACAAAUGCCCUGCUUCCAGGAAAAGCCUCUAAGCAUCAGGUAACAUCAAAUCGUACCCCAAACCGACACAGGUGGUCAGGUAGAGAAUACCAAGGCGCUUGAGAGAACUCGGGUGAAGGAACUAGGCAAAAUGGUGCCGUAACUUCGGGAGAAGGCACGCUGACACGUAGGUGAAGUGAUUUACUCAUGGAGCUGAAGUCAGUCGAAGAUACCAGCUGGCUGCAACUGUUUAUUAAAAACACAGCACUGUGCAAACACGAAAGUGGACGUAUACGGUGUGACGCCUGCCCGGUGCCGGAAGGUUAAUUGAUGGGGUCAGCGCAAGCGAAGCUCCUGAUCGAAGCCCCGGUAAACGGCGGCCGUAACUAUAACGGUCCUAAGGUAGCGAAAUUCCUUGUCGGGUAAGUUCCGACCUGCACGAAUGGCGUAAUGAUGGCCAGGCUGUCUCCACCCGAGACUCAGUGAAAUUGAACUCGCUGUGAAGAUGCAGUGUACCCGCGGCAAGACGGAAAGACCCCGUGAACCUUUACUAUAGCUUGACACUGAACAUUGAGCCUUGAUGUGUAGGAUAGGUGGGAGGCUUUGAAGUGUGGACGCCAGUCUGCAUGGAGCCGACCUUGAAAUACCACCCUUUAAUGUUUGAUGUUCUAACGUGGACCCGUUACCCGGGUUGCGGACAGUGUCUGGUGGGUAGUUUGACUGGGGCGGUCUCCUCCUAAAGAGUAACGGAGGAGCACGAAGGUUGGCUAAUCCUGGUCGGACAUCAGGAGGUUAGUGCAAUGGCAUAAGCCAGCUUGACUGCGAGCGUGACGGCGCGAGCAGGUGCGAAAGCAGGUCAUAGUGAUCCGGUGGUUCUGAAUGGAAGGGCCAUCGCUCAACGGAUAAAAGGUACUCCGGGGAUAACAGGCUGAUACCGCCCAAGAGUUCAUAUCGACGGCGGUGUUUGGCACCUCGAUGUCGGCUCAUCACAUCCUGGGGCUGAAGUAGGUCCCAAGGGUAUGGCUGUUCGCCAUUUAAAGUGGUACGCGAGCUGGGUUUAGAACGUCGUGAGACAGUUCGGUCCCUAUCUGCCGUGGGCGCUGGAGAACUGAGGGGGGCUGCUCCUAGUACGAGAGGACCGGAGUGGACGCAUCACUGGUGUUCGGGUUGUCAUGCCAAUGGCACUGCCCGGUAGCUAAAUGCGGAAGAGAUAAGUGCUGAAAGCAUCUAAGCACGAAACUUGCCCCGAGAUGAGUUCUCCCUGAGACUUAGAGUCUCCUGAAGGAACGUUGAAGACGACGACGUUGAUAGGCCGGGUGUGUAAGCGCAGCGAUGCGUUGAGCUAACCGGUACUAAUGAACCGUGAGGCUUAACCUUACAACGCCGAAG